CAAGGCGUAGCUAUAAUACAAAGCAUUCAGCUUACACCUGAAAGAUACCUGCUACCAGUCGGGUCGCCUUGA
rnacentral:tRNA from 1 species